AGGCCCACCAUGACAUUCUUGAGGUCCACCAUGAUGUUCUCAAUCCCUCCAGAAAGUUGUUGAGGUCCAUCAAGAUGUUCUCAAUCCCUCUAGAAGGUUCUCCACGCCUACCAUGACGUUCUUGAGACCCAUCAUGAUGUUCUCGAGGUCCAUCAAGAUGUUCUUGAGCCCUCCAGAAGGUUCUCAACGUCCAUCGUGAUGUCCUUGAAGUCCAUUAUGAGGUUCUUGAGGUCCAUCAAGAUGUUCUCAAGCCCUCCAGAAGCUUCUCGAGGUCCACCAUGAUGUUCUCGAGCCCUCCAGAAGGUUCUUGAGGUCCAUCAAGAUGUUCUCGAGCCCUCCAGAAGAUUCUUGAGGUCCACCAAGAUGUUCUCGAGCCCUCCAGAAGGUUCUUGAGGUCCACCAUGACGUUCUUGAGGUCCACCAUGAUGUUCUCGAGCCCUCCAGAAGGUUCUUGAGGCCCACCAUGAUGUCCUCGAGCCCCACCGCAGGUCCCUCAUGGUGCCGCAGCUCCCCCGCGCACUCCUCCUGGUGCCGGCGACGUCCGCCAC